AAUGUUGCUUUUUAGGUUGGCUCUGUCUGGUUAUGGACCGGGUUGAUAUGGGCUCUGCUGUGCACGCUGAUUUUCUAGUUUGACCUUAGUCCUACCUCAUUGCUGUGAACCUGCCUGGUGAUCACUGUGUUGUCUCUGACCGUGGUUGCCCUUGCUGGACCUGGUUAUUAUCUGUGGAUUGUCUUCCCAGCUUGACCUCAGAUCUGUAUCAUCAUAUAAAUGUGCCUGAAGAUUUGGAAUUGUGGUCAAACCUGGCAACCAUCUGCUGGUCUACCCUGAUCCUGUUGCUCAGGGACUGUGGGAUGGGACCCUGCCUGAUGAGCCUCAGGAGCAUCCAUGGGCUUUGCUGUGGUUUUACGGUCUCUCUUUGGUGCAUUUUUGAUGCCCAAGGUAAACAACCAGCUGUGGAAGAUUUGGCCAGAAAGAAUCUCUUCUUGCAAGUGGGGGAAUGGGCUGUUUUUAACUCUGCCCUGCCGCCUGUGCAACAAGGAUGGACUUGACUGAAACCAGGUGGAAGAGGGAAAGGUUUGGGCAGGGUGUAAAACUGUUCUACUUGUUGCCUACUGCAAGCAACCAAGGGAGGACACAAGGGCAAGAACCACCUGGAGCUCUUCCGCCUGCCGGUCUUCCAUACUUACUGACCAGCUUAAGUUAUCAACAGGCAAUGUAGAAAACCUUUCUGCUGAAAUGUGCUGGGGAUUCCAUGCCCUAAGAGGAGGCAUGGUCUGGAUUGACCUGGUUGUGACUUAAGGCUUUCACUAACAUUGAUCUCUUCCAUUCCGAUUCAUCUUGUGUUCUGCCUGGCUGAUGGAAUGUGAGCACUUCCAUGAACUCAGCAGAGAUUUUGGCUGUCCAGCCAGUGAUGCUGUGGAGCGUUUUCAUAACAGGAACACUAUCCUGUCGAAGUUAAUCCUCCUAGGACUCCUCUCAAGGCAGAUGUGGAAGAAAAGAUGAAUGAUUUGGAGCAGCCUGCCUGGUUCUCCAGAGAAUCUUCUCAUCAUCUGGGAGUUUAGGGACCAGCCACUUGGGAAAAUGGUGACUAAGAUCUCAACCUCCCUAUUCUUUCUGGUGAUGGGCAUGAGACUCUAGCUUAUCUUGCUGACAUAUAAGGCCAGCAAACCAAAGUGGUGAUCUGGCUGCAAAUUCAAAUGAAGCUUGCUGCUGUCUGGGUGGAAAAGGCAGACAGAGCAAGGUGUUAUUUCUACUGUGUAGCAGAGGGCUCUGUGAGGCCACCUGAACUUGUCACCAGUGGACAUACGUGUUUUUUCCAGCAAGUUAGACAUCUACCUUGGCCACAGAACUUUCUCGAAACCUUUCUCAGUAACAGUCACACGAGAGAAGGUUUAAAGAGACACUAUAGGUUACUUGAAUGAGCUUGUGCUGAUGCUAUUUUCUGAUAUAUCUUCUGUUGCCAGGAGUCUGAGAUGAUCUAGACUUUUUUUAAAAAACUUUUGAUGAAAUUUGCAUGAGUAACCAUAGUCUGGGGGCCUGCCUAUUUUAGUUUCUUCAUUUGUGUACAGAGCAUCUGAAACUGGUAACUUCUGGAGAUGCAAAAUAGUGGUUUGCUGAGUGAGCAUCAAUGCACUGCAUGUAAAAUUUUAUGUACAGAAUCAUGACUAGAGAUAAAGGCUACACCUGAGAGCACAGGCUAAUCCAUCCCUUGCCUCUUGGCCUGCUUGCUGCCCUGCGAUGAAGGACGCAGAGCUGGAAAGAGUGACGUGGGAUAUUGUUUAACUGGGAAGAAAAAAAAGAUGGGAAGGUAGAAAUAAAAUGACAACUAAAUGCCUUGAAAUUCCAUGCAGGUAGUAGUGACUGAGUAACUGAGUACGAGCCAAGGGAAGCUUUACCACAAGCUUUUUAUUUGACUUUGUACUCCCAUUGACAGGAUUUGCAGGCAGUUCUCUGUAGAGCACUAAUUGAUAUGUUUAGGUAGGUUUUCUUAUUUUGAACUAUAAGAGUAAAGGAAAUGGCAUGAUUUACAGCAGGUAAAGGAAGAGUAAAACAGCCUAUGUACCUAUAUGUUACAAUAUUAACCUAACCUCUUUUAGAGAGGUGCUUCCUGAAAGGCGCUUGGCCUUUCUUUUGCUGAUGUAAAACUUUAUUCUAAGUGCAAGAUGCUUCAGUGGCUGUUUCCUUUGCAGGGUGAGGGGAAGUACUAAAACUAGAACCCUUGCAAUUGUAUAAGUAAAACUAACUUGCACACUGUGGCUUAUAGGGAAAUCUAUACAAAUGUUUGAUACGUGCUGCAAGCAGCUUAGUUUUAUGCAUGGUACCUGACUUCAGGCUAUAUGGGUUAUCUCCAACUUAAGUCAAGAAAAGCCCUUUUGUAAAACUGCAGUUCAGUUUUUCCAAUAUUUCUUUUGUUAAAUGUAGACAGCAGUUUAGUUUCCUCCUCUGUUUCUUCAUUUGCAACCACUCCAUUUAUAAUACUGUAAUGUGUUUUAUUUUUAUAAUACUUUUAUCCUUGCAUGCCUCUGAUCUCCAGGAAGCCUGAGUUCCCACAGGCAGCACUCAACUGCCUAAGAAAUUGCACACCUGCUUCUGGUAGCUCCUUGCCAGGUGCUAUGGUGCUUGCUGCCUCUCCCUGGCCUCCUCUGGCUCAGGACUUCAAACAUCUCUGCAGUGCAUCCUUGCUUACUUGGGAAAAACAGGGAAGUUAAUAAGCA